AUGCACUCGGUGGGCAGGGCGGCCCAUGCUCAGGGCAGCUGGGGAAUGCUGUGACUCGGGCCUGAGAGCCCUGUAGGAGGCAGGACCGCUGUGCCGGGGACAGGGCGAAUGGCUUGGCUCUGCACCGGCCAAGUUGCUGAAAAGCAAGCAAGGAAUCACAUGGCACUCACAAACCAAAGAACACUACACAAACACUGAGUUCUACCCUUUUUGGUCCAAACAAGUUGUUGUAAAGAGUCCGAAAGUUUUUCCGGGUGUAGUUGCAGCGGUAGGCUCCUCCCAUGAGGUACUCCAGCACGAGCCCGAUGUCUAUGAGGCUGAUGUGGUAAUCCGGUGGAAGGUUGCUCUGUAAGAGAAGUCUGGUUUCAGGCCCUGUGAGGAUGCGUUCUCAGUGUGGACUUCAUCACGCAUCUCGCGGGUGGCAGAAAGGGCCAAGAACAGCGGCUGCAAUCAACAGGACACAGAAUGACUUGAGGAACCUCCUGCCGGUGCUUCUGGAAAGAACCACAGGCAGUGGGUGAGAGAUCUCAAAAGAGGGACAGAAUGAAAGGCUGCAUGGACAGUCAGUGGUGCUCAGGUCAGCGGCCGGCCAUCCCCUUCCCCACCCCAGCCAGUGGCUGCCCUGGCCUUGCACUGGCAUCAACUUGUAUGUAAUCCAGCUGUCACUGAGAGUGUCCCUACCAUGGAUUCAGAUGAACGUGCAACUUAAAAAAGAUUAUCCUUUGCUUUCUUAGUUUUAAAUAGACUCUUUAUGAAAGAA